UUGCUCAACCCAAAUACUUCACUAGACUUGUAAACUUUGAAAACACAUCCCCCUCCUCAAGAUGAAGUUUGACAUCUAAGAAAAAGCUAACUAUUGAUGGGCAAACCUUUUUGAUUAAAGAGAAAAAUCAGAAAGCUGGGUUUGACAUCUUUGAAGGUGUAAAUGAGGUAGAAACAAGGGUUUUGGUAGCCAAAGAGGAAACUCUAAGGGGCACUCGACCGUGUUCCAACUCGAGUGCAGUUGUUGCCCUCCCCAAGCAUCAAAAUCUGCUUCCUAAACCUCACCAACCGCAAGAGUCAAGUCCUCCUGCGCUUGACAGUUUGUAUGAACUCCAAAAUACAGAGAUUCAAAUGGAUUCAGUGAAAGAGUUAGCAGCUAUGGUGAAGGAGAUGAGUGGGCAAAUCAAGAAGCUUCAAGGUACAAUGAGAAGUACUCCUCCAAGGAAAUUAAGGAAGAGGUUUGGGAUAAUGAAGAAGAGCAGUCCAUUUAUUGUUGAACUUGGCAGAAUGUUAAAGGGUAUCUGGUUAGACAAGACAUUCAAGAGGGUUCUCCGAAGCCUCUCUAUGAUCCUCCCAAAUCAUAAGGAGUAUGCAAAGUCAAGCUCAGAGACUUUAAACAAGCUCGCUUGGGAGGAAGUCCCAAAGGUAUCACUGUAAAUAUUCUUUAGAAUCUUUGUGUUUUAAUUUUUGUUUUUAGUUUUAUGGUGUUCAGGAAUCUGCAGAAGGGAGUAUUAGCAACAUAAAAGGAAAAGUGAAAGUAUUAGUCAAAAGAAGGCGCUUCGACUCGACCUAGAGAGUUUAACCACCGCCGUGCGUUCUCAACCAGAUGACCGCCAAACCCACUCUCUCGAGCCACUCACGCUUACAUGGUCCAACUGCCACGCUCGAGCCAAUCUCACAACCACACGAAUCGAGCAAACCUUCCUCUCCUCACUCGAGUCGACAUCUCCAAUCCAGUUUUGACACCACUCGACCAACUUACAUCCAUGUCCAGUUCAACUACGUCGAUCGAGCCAAUCUCCGUCGCUACGCUCGACCACAUCCACUCGAUCCGGUCACCAAACUCUCGCUCGAGAUACCACUCUCAACUUGAUCUCCCACACUGUCUGAACUCACCAAUUGAGCCACUGUCCAAACUCACCAAUCGAGCCACUGCCAAACUCACCAAUGAACACCUUCUCCGGUCCAUUCCGUAGCUCGAGAAGCGCAUGAGCAUGAGGCUGAGGUUGAGCAGCGAUAUGAACAUCAGGGAGAUUAUCAGGACAUGCAGGAAGUUGAGCAGCAAAUCAAGCAUCAGGGUGAUUAUCGGCAUACCGAGGUGGUAGUGUUAGUCUCGGACCAUGGUGAGUCCAGAGUCGACGACAUGCAGUGCGACGAGCAGCUAAACACUUAUCAGAACACGCACGCGGUUGAGCAGCAAGUCGACCAACCAGCCGAGGUCACCCCUGCGGAUCCAGCACAAGGUGAGGAACAGAGUCAGUACCACGCUGCUCCCUGUGCGAGCUCCGACUCCUUAUUUUAUUACUGAGGAAUGGACAAAGAGGAUAAAAAGGGUGGUGCACUGGAUAGAGUUGUUCUUCUCCAGGAUGCACGGACCGACAUGACAGGCAGCUAUUUCCCACACAGCUCUAGGCAUAUAGCAACACACUAAUCUUUCAUAUAUCCUCGGAUUUCUAUGGUCUGUUCCAGUGAUUGCUCCUAUCAUACAAUCAACACACCUUAACAUAGAAGAUCAGAUCUUACAAAUUUUAAUGGACUUUCUCAGAUUUGUAAAUCUAUUGAUGUCCAAUGGCUUAGUGAAUAAAUCAGCUAGUUAAAAUUCUGUACUCACAUGAUCAAUCUCAAUCAGUUUCUCCUCAACCAAUUCACGAAUGAAGUGAUGUCUAAUAUCA